rnacentral:lncRNA from 1 species
GGCUCAGAUUUGAAUUUCAUCUCGGCUUGGCCUUCAUUUUCUACUCGGCUCGACCUUGAUUUUCUCCUCGAUUCGAAUUUGAUUUUUUUCUCGGCUCGAUAUUGAUUUUCUCUUCAGCUCGGCCUUGAUUUUUUUCUCAGCUUAGACUUGACUUUUUCUCCUCAGUUUGGAUUUGAUUUUUUUCUUGGCCCAACCUUGAUUUUGAUGUCCUAUGGUCAUGC